GACGAACGCUGGCGGCGUGCUUAACACAUGCAAGUCGAACGGUGAAGCGCCUUCCUUUUUGGUGGGUGUGGAUGAGUGGCGAACGGGUGAGUAACACGUGAGUAACCUGCCCCCUUCUUCUGGAUAACCGCAUGAAAGUGUGGCUAAUACGGGAUAUUCUGGGUCUGUCGCAUGAUGGGUCUGGGAAAGAUAUUGUUUCGGUGGGGGAUGGGCUCGCGGCCUAUCAGCUUGUUGGUGGGGUGAUGGCCUACCAAGGCGGUGACGGGUAGCCGGCCUGGGAGGGUGGAGGGUACAACGGGGAAGGGGAAACGGGCCGAACUCCUAGGGGGGGGCGCAGUGGGGAAUAUUGCAAAAUGGGGGGAAGCCUGGUGCGGCGACGCCGGGGGGGGGAUGGGGGCCUUCGGGUUGUGAACCUUUUUCGCCGGGGAAGCGGGCCUGCCUCGUUUGUGGGUGGGUUGACGGUAGCUGGAUAAGAAGCCCCGGCUAACUACGU
rnacentral:rRNA from 1 species